CGUUGAAGUGAGGCGGGAAGGUGAAAGUGACUGACACACUGGCUGACAGCGCUCUCUAGCGUGUGCACACACAUUUCACUCGAUGGGCAAAAGCUAGUACACAGUGGAAUGCCGGAGACUGUCAGCAGUUGAGGUGGAGCAACCGUACCGAUGACACAAUUGGCUGGACGGUUCAUGUUGCCAUGAUAAAAACUAAAUCACGGCUAUGGGGUAAACCAAAGCUGAAGCGGAAAGGACACCCCCCCCCCCCGAAUUCCCGUCCUUCAUUCCUCAGGCGCAAUCCAGCGGCGGCGGAGGUUUUCCCCGAUUAAAACCCCAAAGACCCGUACCUUGAUCUCGGCAAACUCUCCCGUACGGGGUACGGGCGCCGACACAUGGCUGACAGGGAAAUGAUAACAAACAUUUUCCCCUCGCUAACAUACACCCCCCGACCCCUCCUUUUUCCUUGUUCUGUGUGACUUGGGGAUUUUUGAGGAGGAAUGGGAUAUGCUUAUUUGCUUUCUCUCGUUCCUCCAAAAACAAAAGCAGCAGCAGCAGCAGCAAAAAAAACACCCACGUCGCGUUUCAAUCCAUCCUGCGGCGGGGGGUCGACGGUUGUUUUGAAUUCUUCUCGUUUUCCCCCCUCCCCCGUUUGUCUUUCCCGAAAGGGUGUAUAGUAGCGCUCGAUGCAACACGAAACCAGCCAGCGUUUGUUUGCUGUUUGGCAAGAGAUAAUGAUAAAUGUACACCCGGCCCGUUUGCGCGGGAUUUGUUCGGGACUGGUACGACUACGACCAUGCAUUCAUUGCCCUCGGUCUGCCUGUAUACGAGCCAACCCACUCCCGAAACGGGUAAAGAGGACCAAUAUGCUUUAUUGCUGGGAGCUCUUGCGUGAAAACGGGGUACCGCUGAUUAAAAACGUAUUUUAAUCUGCCACUCUGGUCGUAAAUCGUGUGAGCAUGGAGCAUGGAAGGAAUGGGAUUUGGUCGUUCCGUUGGAUUGUCUAUGCUUCGAGUAUUGGUAUUGCUGGAGCGAAUAAAUCUAAAACUAAAACCAGCAUCAUCUCGCAAAACAUGUCGGAUGAUAGUACAUUAAGCUUUGCGCGGGUAACUGCGAUCCUCCCUUGAUUGGAACUGUUUUA